rnacentral:rRNA from 1 species
AACGCUAGCUACAGGCUUAACACAUGCAAGUCGAGGGGAAACGAUAGAGAAAGCUUGCUUUUUCUAGGCGUCGACCGGCGUACGGGUGAGUAACGCGUAUCCAACCUGCCCAUCACUUGGGGAUAACCUUGCGAAAGUAAGACUAAUACCCAAUGACGUCCAUAGAAGACAUCUGAAAUGGAUUAAAGAUUUAUCGGUGAUGGAUGGGGAUGCGUCUGAUUAGCUUGUUGGCGGGGUAACGGCCCACCAAGGCGACGAUCAGUAGGGGUUCUGAGAGGAAGGUCCCCCACAUUGGAACUGAGACACGGUCCAAACUCCUACGGGAGGCAGCAGUGAGGAAUAUUGGUCAAUGGACGAGAGUCUGAACCAGCCAAGUAGCGUGCAGGAAGACGGCCCUAUGGGUUGUAAACUGCUUUUAUAAGGGAAUAAAGUGAGUCUCGUGAGACUUUUUGCAUGUACCUUAUGAAUAAGGACCGGCUAAUUCCGUGCCAGCAGCCGCGGUAAUACGGAAGGUCCGGGCGUUAUCCGGAUUUAUUGGGUUUAAAGGGAGCGUAGGCCGGAGAUUAAGCGUGUUGUGAAAUGUAGAUGCUCAACAUCUGCACUGCGGCGCGAACUGGUUUCCUUGAGUACGCACAAAGUGGGCGGAAUUCGUGGUGUAGCGGUGAAAUGCUUAGAUAUCACGAAGAACUCCGAUUG